UACGUAUGGGGCAAGCGUUAUCCGGAUUUACUGGGUGUAAAGGGAGCGUAGGCGGCAGGGCAAGCCUGAUGUGAAAGCCCGGGGCUCAACCCCGGGACUGCAUUGGGAACUGCCCCGCUCGAGUGCCGGAGGGGCAGGCGGAAUUCCUAGUGUAGCGGUGAAAUGCGUAGAUAUGUGGAAGAACACCAGUGGCGAAAGCGGCUCUCUGGUCUGUAACUGACGCUGAGGUUCGAAAGCGUGGGUAGCAAACAGG
rnacentral:rRNA from 1 species